CUACGGGCGGCUCCAGUCGAGAAUCUUCCGCAAUGGGCGAAAGCCUGACGGAGCAAUGCCGCGUGUAGGAUGAAGGCCUUUGGGUUGUAAACUACUGUCACAGGGGAUGAAUACUUGACAGUACCCUGAGAGGAAGCCACGGCUAACUACGUGCCAGCAGCCGCGGUAAUACGUAGGUGGCGAGCGUUGUUCGGAUUUAUUGGGCGUAAAGGGUUCGUAGGGGGUCAUCUAAGUUUGGUGUGAAAUCCCGGGGCUUAACCCCGGAACUGCAUUGAAAACUGGAAGACUAGAGCAUUGGAGAGGAGAGCGGAAUUCCUGGAGUAGCGGUGGAAUGCGUAGAUAUCAGGAAGAACAUCGGCAGCGAAGGCAGCUCUCUGGACAAUUGCUGACCCUGAGGGACGAAAGCGUGGGUAGCGAACAGGAUUAGAUACCCUCGUAGUC
rnacentral:rRNA from 1 species